CCAAUCGGGCUCAAGGCCGUAGAAAAGGCCCUUGGGGCCAUUUUUCGACAUGGCCCCAGGGGCCUUUUCUACGGCCUUGUGGCCAGGUUGG
rnacentral:miRNA from 1 species